rnacentral:tRNA from 1 species
GGAGCCGUCGCAUAGCGGUUUAGUGCACCAUCUUGGAAAGGUGGCAUACCGAAAGGUAUCGAGAGUUCGAAUCUCUCCGGCUCCGCCA